AGUCUUAUAUUCAAAAUAAUGAUAUAAAAUUGCAAAUUUUAUGGUGUAUUUAAUAUUACUAAGGCUU
rnacentral:tRNA from 1 species